UUGAGAGUCCGAAUAUGCCCUAGCAGCUCACCGCGCGAACCAAGGGCGCGUUCCUCCUCGGUCUCAUCUGCCAGAGGACGGACCUUUCCCUCGAGAGACUCAACCUGAGCCCGUAGGCCAGCGUUGUCCUCGGUCAGCUUCUGAUGGUCGACCACCUGCUCUUCCAAGCUCGCCUUAGCAGCCUUCAACUGGUCCCUCUCCUUUUCCACCUCCUCCAGCUUCUGGC
rnacentral:lncRNA from 1 species